rnacentral:rRNA from 1 species
AUGGGGAGGUCGAUGAGGGGUCUCCUCGCCGUCGUGGCGUUCGCGGCGGUGCUGAGGCUCGGGCUCGUCGGCGCGAACUUCGCCGACCUGUGCGACAUCACAUGGGAGCCGCAGAACGCCGCGAUGACGGACGGAGGGGAGCACCUCACGCUCUCCCUCGUCAGCAACAUCUCAGGCAGUAUGCUCCGGACCAAGAAGACGUUCAUCUACGGCAGCAUCUCCACCUUGAUCAAGCUGGUCAAGGGAAACUCGGCCGGCACCGUCACCACCUACUACACGUCGUCGGUGGGCGACGACCACGACGAGAUCGACUUCGAGUUCCUGGGCAACGAGACGGGCCAGCCCUACACCAUCCACACCAACGUGUUCGCCGACGGCGUGGGCGCCAAGGAGGUGCAGUUCUACCCCUGGUUCGACCCCACCGCCGACUUCCACAACUACACCAUCUUCUGGAACCCCUCCAUGAUCGUGUGGUUUGUGGACAGCAUCCCGAUCCGCGUGUUCCGCAACUACGCGAGCAAGGGCGUGCCGUUCCCGACGAAGCGGCCGAUGUACGGCUUCUCCAGCAUCUGGUCGGCGGACGACUGGGCCACGCAGGGCGGCCGCGUCAAGACGGACUGGGCCAAGGCGCCCUUCGUCGCCGAGUACGACAACAUGGGCCUCGACGUCUGCGAGUGCCUGAGCACCGACGCCGAGUGCGCCGCCAGAUGCAACAAGGACACCCCGCCGGAGCCGUCCCAGCUCACCAAGGAGCAGAUGCGCCAGCUCAGGGCCGUGCAGCUCGGCUACACCAUCUACGACUACUGCGUCAACGGCAAGGGCCCCGUACCGCCCGAGUGCAGCAUGCCCCAGUACUGA